rnacentral:rRNA from 1 species
UACGUAGGGGGCAAGCGUUGUCCGGAAUUAUUGGGCGUAAAGCGCGCGCAGGCGGUUAUUUAAGUCUUAUGUUUAAACCUGGGGCUCAACCUCGGGACGCACGGGAAACUGGGUAACUUGAGUGUAGGAGAGGAAAGUGGAAUUCCACGUGUAGCGGUGAAAUGCGUAGAGAUGUGGAGGAACACCAGUGGCGAAGGCGACUUUCUGGCCUAUAACUGACGCUGAGGCGCGAAAAGCGUGGGGAGCAACAGGG